GGCUGAGAGUGGCAGUCACGGCGCGGACGAAGGGCCGUGGCCGCGCUCCCCGGCCCCCGACAUGUGGGGAACGUCUUCCAGAGAGACCGGUGCUCGCUGCGCCCCUGUUUGGUCGGCUGCCGGCGAGCGCGUUUACAAGCUGAUGGAUGUACUUGAGAAGAAUAAAAGGAGCAUUAAAAACACCCCCGCAGCAGGUGUUUAGGCCAGCAUGGUCCCACCCUGGAGUGCUGGCCAGCUGACAAGUUGGGAUCAGCAACGCUGUCGUGCUGAUCCUGUGCCUCUGCCUGGGAGAGCUCAUCCUCAACCUCGGAGGACAGGAAGGAAGCUGCCGCGCUCCAGGUGAAGAAUCAAGAUCUAGAGUGCACAGGAGGCAGAAGAGUUGUGGGUCGAAGGCCCUGGUGGAGAUGAAUGGGACAUCCUGUUAACAGUCACUCCUGAUUGAAUGGCAUUGCCAGCUGGCUCUCAGCCAUAGCAGAGUGGUGACGCCAUGCGGUUCCUCUGGGGUUUGAGGUCCCCCAGCCUCGGGCUGGAGGAGUGGAGGUGCCAGAGCACACGCUGCAAGGUGCUCCCACAGAAAACUCUCCCCCGCCAGGGGAUGCGAUGGCCCCUCCCACUGCCGAAGGUUGAUCUGCUUCAGCUGUCAUCUUGGAGAAAAGGGGGAAGAAGUCGUGCUGCGUCCACCCCCCCCAGUCAGAUUAGUGUAAUCGGUGAGUGAAUCCAGAGUGUGGCAAAGUUCAUCAGGCCUGAAGGGCAUUUGAUUAAGGAGCUGACCUUGGGGGUCACCUUUUUUUUUUUUUUUGACAGGCAGAGUGGACAGUGAGAGAGAGAGACAGAGAGAAAGGUCUUCCUUCCGUUGGUUCACCCCCAAAAUGGCUGCUAUGGCCAGCGCACUGUGCCGAUUCAAAGCCAGGUGCUUCUUCUGGUCUCCCAUGCGGGUGCAGGGCCCAAGCACUUGGGCCAUCCUCCACUGCCUUCCCAGGCCACAGCAGAGAACUGGACUGGAAGGGGAGCAAACAGGACAGAAUCCAGAGCCCCGACUGGGACUAGAACCUGGGGUGCCCACGCCACAGGCGGAGGGUUAGCCAGGUGAGCCGCGGCGCCGGCCAGGGAUCACCUUUGUGAUGCUGUGGGUAAAGAAAGCCACUAACAGCGCACAUGUGGGCACCUGUUCAUGCCGCAGUUGCUCCACUUCCCAUCUAGCUCCCUGCUAAGGGCCUAGGAAAAGCAGUGGAAGGUGGCCAGAGUGUUUGGGCUCCUGCCACCCACAUGGGAGACCCGGAUGGAGCUCCUGGCUCCUGGCUUUGGGCUGGCUCAGCCCUGGCUGCUACGGACAUCUGGGCGAGUGAGCCAGCAGAUGGAAGAUCUGUCUCUCAUCUCCUUCUGUAACUCUUACAAAUAAAUAAAUCCUAAAAAAAAUAAAAAAA